rnacentral:rRNA from 1 species
UACGAAGGGGGCUAGCGUUGCUCGGAAUCACUGGGCGUAAAGCGCACGUAGGCGGAUCUUUAAGUCAGGGGUGAAAUCCUGGAGCUCAACUCCAGAACUGCCUUUGAUACUGGGGAUCUCGAGUCCGGAAGAGGUGAGUGGAACUCCGAGUGUAGAGGUGAAAUUCGUAGAUAUUCGGAAGAACACCAGUGGCGAAGGCGGCUCACUGGUCCGAUACUGACGCUGAGGCGCGAAAGCGUGGGGAGCAAACAGG